rnacentral:rRNA from 1 species
AUUGAACGCUGGCGGCAGGCCUAACACAUGCAAGUCGAACGGUAACAGGAAGAAGCUUGCUUCUUUGCUGACGAGUGGCGGACGGGUGAGUAAUGUCUGGGAAACUGCCUGAUGGAGGGGGAUAACUACUGGAAACGGUAGCUAAUACCGCAUAACGUCGCAAGACCAAAGAGGGGGACCUUCGGGCCUCUUGCCAUCGGAUGUGCCCAGAUGGGAUUAGCUAGUAGGUGGGGUAACGGCUCACCUAGGCGACGAUCCCUAGCUUGUCUGAGAGGAUGACCAGCCACACUGGAACUGAGACACGGUCCAGACUCCUACGGGAGGCAGCAGUGGGGAAUAUUGCACAAUGGGCGCAAGCCUGAUGCAGCCAUGCCGCGUGUAUGAAGAAGGCCUUCGGGUUGUAAAGUACUUUCAGCGGGGAGGAAGGGAGUAAAGUUAAUACCUUUGCUCAUUGACGUUACCCGCAGAAGAAGCACCGGCUAACUCCGUG